AGGAGAUGGGAUCAGGAGUGAUUCCAUGGUUAAUUUAACCCAUAUAAACAACUAAUCGUAAGUAUGGUAUGAGCGUUUAUGUAAAGACUGUGACAACAGGAAAUGUCUGUCUUUGAACCCAAGGUUAUCUAAGCAGCACACCAAUGGUGAGAGAUUAACUUUGUCAGAAACCAGGAACCAUGAAGCAGAGGUCACUGUUUCCAACCUGUGUGUUUUCCACGGUAAUUGGCAGCCUCCCCAAGGGAAAUUAAAACAUAUGUCCACACAGAAAUUUGAAUGCAAAUGUUCAUAGCAGCAUUACUCAUAAUAGCCCAAAGCUGAAACAGCCCCAAUGUUCCACAGUGGAUGAAUCGAUGAACAAAAUAUGGUGCAUCCACAGAAUGGAAUACAAAGAAAGAAAGCGUGGACACAUGCUGCAACAUGGAUGAACCUUGAAAAUAUUGUGCCAGGGGAAAGAAACCAGAGACAAAGAGCCACAUGUUGUAGGAUUCCAUGUAUAUGAAAGGUCCUAAUAAGCAAACUCAUAAAGACGAAAAGCAGAUUAGUGGUCACUUAGGGCUAGGGUGAGGAGUGACGGUUAGUGGGCACUGAGUUUCUCCGGGGGGAACUGAAUUAGAUAGUGGUGGUGAUUGCACAAUUCUGUGAAUAGACUAAAAACCACUGGACUGUAAGAGGGUUAAUUUUUUGGUAUAUGAAUUACAUCUCAAUAAAGCUGUUACUUAAAACGUGGAAAAAAUAAUAAGCAGUCACUAGCUAUUCUCAAUAAAACAGAAACCACAUAGGUAAGACCAAUAUUGUCACAUUUUGGUUUUGGCUGAUAAUGGGGCAAGUGAGCAUAGUCACCGUUGCCAGAGGAUUUACCAUUUACAAAUAAAAGUUUCUGUGGAAUGACAACCAUUUACUAUGUGCCAGGUACUGUGCUAAGCACUUUGUAUAUACCGAUUCAUGUAAUCCUUGUGACAGCCCCGUGAUGCCCCAUUUUUAGAUGGGGAGAUUGAGGUUAGGAGAGUUGAAUAACUUGCCCAUAGCUGCACAGCUUCCAAGUUGCAGAGACAGGAUUUUCACCGAGUCUUAUUACAAACUGCCUCAUAUUGUGUGGACUGGAAAUUCUAUGUUGAGGUUAAUUUAUUCAUUUGUUGUUUAGUUCUUUUCAUCAUUGUUGAGUUGCCAAUGGCAGUUCCAGAGGAUUUAUCAUUUACCCCAAAGCUACUGCAAAUCUAAGAAAAAACAAUGUUCUUGCUGCUAAAGUUUAAUGUACAAAAAGAUUAGGCACUCAGCAGAAGCACCAGCCAGCUCAGCCUUUGGAGGGAGAAUUCCAUGUUGUUGGACCCAUACAUAUCCUCUGUCCCUGCUGCCAAGAGCUCUUUGUUCAUCGGCCCGUUGAGCAGACACCACAGCAGCUGCAUAGAGAGGCUGGCUGACAGCCACAGAGCAUGUAAUUCUGUCCAUCUGAUUCAGGGUCUUC
rnacentral:lncRNA from 1 species